rnacentral:rRNA from 1 species
UACAGAGGUCUCAAGCGUUGUUCGGAUUCAUUGGGCGUAAAGGGUGCGUAGGCGGCGCGGUAAGUCGGGUGUGAAAUCUCGGGGCUUAACUCCGAAACUGCAUUCGAUACUGCCGUGCUUGAGGACUGGAGAGGAGACUGGAAUUUACGGUGUAGCGGUGAAAUGCGUAGAUAUCGUAAGGAAGACCAGUGGCGAAGGCGGGUCUCUGGACAGUUCCUGACGCUGAGGAGCGAAAGCUAGGGGAGCAAACGGG